rnacentral:rRNA from 1 species
GUAAUCGCGGAUCAGCAUGCCGCGGUGAAUACGUUCCCGGGCCUUGUACACACCGCCCGUCACACCAUGAGAGUCGGGAACACCCGAAGUCCGUAGUCUAACCGCAAGGGGGACGCGGCCGAAGGUGGGUUCGAUAAUUGGGUGAAGUCGUAACAAGGUAGC